UACGUAGGGUGCGAGCGUUAAUCGGAAUUACUGGGCGUAAAGCGUGCGCAGGCGGUUAUGUAAGACAGUUGCGAAAUCCCCGGGCUUAACCUGGGAACUGCAUUGGUGACUGGCGGGCUGGAGUAUGGCAGAGGGGGGGUAGAAUUCCACGUGUAGCAGUGAAAUGCGUAGAGAUGUGGAGGAAUACCGAUGGCGAAGGCAGCCCCCCUGGGCCAGUACCGACGUUCAAGGCACGAAA
rnacentral:rRNA from 1 species